CUAACCACUUGUAGUUAUUAAAAAUUCAGUUUCUCAGUUCCACUGACCACAUUUCAAGUACUUAAUAGCCACAUGACUACUGGACAGUGCAGAUAUAAAAUAUUUCCAUCAUUGCAGAAUGUACUCUUGGAUAGCACUGAUAAAGCUGAAAGAAACAAGGGACUAAGGCAGUAGGAUCGACUUGUGACUAGGACCUGUAACCAUGGCACCUUGUUCAAAUCCAGUGAUAAGAUCUUUCUCUGAACCUCACAUCUCCUCUAUAAAAUGGAAAUAAAAAUGGGAACUACCUCAUGGACUGCUGAGCAGAGGAAAUGAGAUAAGGGACAUCACGUCAUAUUGGAAACUAAGGAACUAGUUCCAUGCUCAUCUCUGGUUUUCUAGAAACAUAAGGCUCAACACCCCAUCCUGAAAUAAAUUCCAGCUUCCGCCUUCCUGUGUGAGGAAUCCUGACACACAUUCUACUUUCCCGGAAAUGGAGUGUCAUGUAUAUGUAUAGAAACAUAAAUAUGCACAUCGUGGAUUUGAAAACCAAAAU